CAGUCGCCACGGGAAUACGUAGGGUGCAAGCGUUAAUCGGAAUUACUGGGCGUAAAGCGUGCGCAGGCGGUUAUAUAAGAAAGAUGUGAAAUCCCCGGGCUCAACCUGGGAACUGCAUUUGUGACUGUAUAGCUAGAGUACGGCAGAGGGGGAUGGAAUUCCGCGUGUAGCAGUGAAAUGCGUAGAUAUGCGGAGGAACACCGAUGGCGAAGGCAAUCCCCUGGGCCUGUACUGACGCUCAUGCACGAAAGCGUGGGGAGCAAACAGGAUUAGAUACCCGCGUAGUCCCGUCUCUUAUACA
rnacentral:rRNA from 1 species